UGUGGCUCAGUGGGUAGAGUGCUUGCCUCGNAUACAGGAAGCCUGGGUUUGAUCCCCAGUA
rnacentral:tRNA from 1 species